GCCACGCUGAGGAUCAAGAGAGAGGCGCCAAGCUGCUGCACAGAGGAGGGUCACAGGAGAAGCUGAUCCGUCUGCGCUGGGGAGAGCUCGCCCAGAACCCUGCUGCCCGCGUGCGACGUCCCAGGGCGCGUGGGCCAUGGGUGUGAGCCAGGCCUUCCCCGUGUGACUCUCCACCCCAUCUGUCUGCUUCUUGCUCCUGCAACCCGUCUGAUGUGUUUGAUGUAGAUGCAGUGUGCAAAGCAUCAUCACAACGUACGGCGAAUGCUUACAUCUAAAACGUUAUUUCAGUGAAAGACACAUUUCUACGAAUCUGCCUCAAAUGCGCUCUCCCUUUAGACCUCACGUAUCCCAUCAUUCCUGCCGCUUUCUGAAGCGGUUCUGGAGUCCUCUUUCCUGAGUGUCCUCACAAAGCGUGAUCACUGCAGUAAAGGCUUGACGCUGCGUCCUCACUGACCGUUCUCACCGGAUCUGUACUGUGUGACUACACUUCUGGCUCUUCCCCAAAGUCAAAAUGACCAUGAAAAGGAAAUGUUUUGGAUCAGUUCUGGACUUUGAGGCAGACACUUAUGAAAGAGCACUCCCAGAACUGCCUCAGAAAGUGGCAAGAAGCGCAAGGUCCUGAGUUUGAUCCCUGGUACCAAAAAAAAAAAAAAAAAACCCAGAAAGUGGCAAGAAAGAUGAGCCUAGUGUGUUCUCAGCAAAGGGGAGAUUCUGAGGGAGGUGAAUGACAGUGUGUCUUUUACUGUAACAAAUUUUUAAAAUGUAAACACUACCAUGUAUUGUGGUUGCACAGUGUAUUUAUAUGUGUUCUUAUAAAGAUGCAUUUUGCUGCUUUUUAUGGCUG
rnacentral:lncRNA from 1 species